rnacentral:rRNA from 1 species
AGAUUGAACGCUGGCGGCAUGCCUUACACAUGCAAGUCGAACGGCAGCACGGGAGCAAUCCUGGUGGCGAGUGGCGAACGGGUGAGUAAUACAUCGGAACGUGCCCAGUAGUGGGGGAUAACCCGGCGAAAGCCGGACUAAUACCGCAUACGACCUACGGGUGAAAGCAGGGGAUCGCAAGACCUUGCGUUAUUGGAGCGGCCGAUGUCAGAUUAGCUUGUUGGCGGGGUAAAAGCCCACCAAGGCGACGAUCUGUAGCUGGUCUGAGAGGACGACCAGCCACACUGGGACUGAGACACGGCCCAGACUCCUACGGGAGGCAGCAGUGGGGAAUAUUGGACAAUGGGCGCAAGCCUGAUCCAGCCAUGCCGCGUGAGUGAUGAAGGCCUUAGGGUUGUAAAGCUCUUUCGCACGCGACGAUAAUGACGGUAGCGUGAGAAGAAGCCCCGGCUAACUUCGUGCCAGCAGCCG